CUCUGAGAGCGUCUCUGCGUCUGUUUCAGUAAAAACAUCAAUCAAGACUUUCCUCCUCUGGACCGCAGCACUUCACUAAAAGCUUCAGCUGAAACAGGGCCCUUAAAGGGCUGUGUUGUGCCCAGGAGCUACGCUGGAUCCCCUCAAGCUUCCCCAAACCAGUAACAGCAAGAAGUUCACCGUCAAAUCCAGAAUCACUAUUCCAAUUAAAUCAAUAAAUCAUUGUCAAAUUA